UCCCUGGUAGUAUAUCGGCUAGUACACCCGCCUGUCAUUUCAACGAUUGGCCGCGGGAGAGCGGGGUUCGACUCCCCGCCAAGGAG